rnacentral:rRNA from 1 species
AGGAUGAACGCUGGCGGCGUGCCUAAUACAUGCAAGUCGAACGAGUCCUUCGGGACGAGUGGCGGACGGGUGAGUAACACGUUGGUACCUGCCCCGAAGUGGGGAAUAACUGCCCGAAAGGGUGGUUAAUACCGCAUAAUACCGCAAGGUUAAAGCAGUAAUGCGCUUCGGGAGGGGCCUGCGUCCCAUUAGCUAGUUGGUAGGGUAAUGGCCUACCAAGGCGACGAUGGGUAGCUGGAUCGAGAGGUUGACCAGCCACACUGGGACUGAGAUACGGCCCAGACUCCUACGGGAGGCAGCAGUAAGGAAUCUUCCACAAUGGACGAAA